rnacentral:rRNA from 1 species
UAGAGUUUGAUCAUGGCUCAGGAUGAACGCUAGCGACAGGCCUAACACAUGCAAGUCGAGGGGCAUCGGGGCUAGGAGCAAUCCUUGCCGCCGGCGACCGGCGCACGGGUGAGUAACGCGUAUGCGACCUGCCCGUUGCAGGGGGAUAAUCGGGAGAAAUCCCGUCUAAUACCGCGUAAUGCCGCGGGGCUGCAUGGCCCUGCGGCCAAAGGGAGCGAUUCCGGCAACGGAUGGGCAUGCGUGACAUUAGCUAGUUGGCGGGGCAACGGCCCACCAAGGCGACGAUGUCUAGGGGUUCUGAGAGGAAGGUCCCCCACACUGGUACUGAGACACGGACCAGACUCCUACGGGAGGCAGCAGUGAGGAAUAUUGGUCAAUGGGCGCGAGCCUGAACCAGCCAAGUCGCGUGAGGGAUGACGGCCCUACGGGUUGUAAACCUCUUUUGUCGGGGAGCAAAUUCCGUUACGUGUAACGGAGUCGAGAGUACCCGAAGAAAAAGCAUCGGCUAACUCCGUGCCAGCAGCCGCGGUAAUACGGAGGAUGCGAGCGUUAUCCGGAUUUAUUGGGUUUAAAGGGUGCGUAGGCGGACUGUCAAGUCAGCGGUAAAAUACGGGGGCUCAACCUCCGCCCGCCGUUGAAACUGACGGUCUUGAGUGGGCGAGAAGUAUGCGGAAUGCGUGGUGUAGCGGUGAAAUGCAUAGAUAUCACGCAGAACUCCGAUUGCGAAGGCAGCAUACCGGCGCCCAACUGACGCUGAAGCACGAAAGCGUGGGUAUCGAACAGGAUUAGAUACCCUGGUAGUCCACGCAGUAAACGAUGAAUACUAGCUGUCCGGGGCGAAUGAGCCCUGGGUGGCACAGCGAAAGCGUUAAGUAUUCCACCUGGGGAGUACGCCGG